CGACGCUUAUGCGUUGUUGGGUAGGGGAGCGUUCUGUAAGCCUGUGAAGGUGUGCUGUGAGGUAUGCUGGAGGUAUCAGAAGUGCGAAUGCUGACAUAAGUAACGAUAAAGCGGGUGAAAAGCCCGCUCGCCGGAAGACCAAGGGUUCCUGUCCAACGUUAAUCGGGGCAGGGUGAGUCGACCCCUAAGGCGAGGCCGAAAGGCGUAGUCGAUGGGAAACAGGUUAAUAUUCCUGUACUUGGUGUUACUGCGAAGGGGGGACGGAGAAGGCUAUGUUGGCCGGGCGACGGUUGUCCCGGUUUAAGCGUGUAGGCUGGUUUUCCAGGCAAAUCCGGAAAAUCAAGGCCGAGGCGUGAUGACGAGGCACUACGGUGCUGAAGCAACAAAUGCCCUGCUUCCAGGAAAAGCCUCUAAGCAUCAGGUAACAUCAAAUCGUACCCCAAACCGACACAGGUGGUCAGGUAGAGAAUACCAAGGCGCUUGAGAGAACUCGGGUGAAGGAACUAGGCAAAAUGGUGCCGUAACUUCGGGAGAAGGCACGCUGAUACGUAGGUGAAGCGACUUGCUCGUGGAGCUGAAAUCAGUCGAAGAUACCAGCUGGCUGCAACUGUUUAUUAAAAACACAGCACUGUGCAAACACGAAAGUGGACGUAUACGGUGUGACGCCUGCCCGGUGCCGGAAGGUUAAUUGAUGGGGUUAGCGCAAGCGAAGCUCUUGAUCGAAGCCCCGGUAAACGGCGGCCGUAACUAUAACGGUCCUAAGGUAGCGAAAUUCCUUGUCGGGUAAGUUCCGACCUGCACGAAUGGCGUAAUGAUGGCCAGGCUGUCUCCACCCGAGACUCAGUGAAAUUGAACUCGCUGUGAAGAUGCAGUGUACCCGCGGCAAGACGGAAAGACCCCGUGAACCUUUACUAUAGCUUGACACUGAACAUUGAGCCUUGAUGUGUAGGAUAGGUGGGAGGCUUUGAAGUGUGGACGCCAGUCUGCAUGGAGCCGACCUUGAAAUACCACCCUUUAAUGUUUGAUGUUCUAACGUGGACCCGUGAUCCGGGUUGCGGACAGUGUCUGGUGGGUAGUUUGACUGGGGCGGUCUCCUCCUAAAGAGUAACGGAGGAGCACGAAGGUUGGCUAAUCCUGGUCGGACAUCAGGAGGUUAGUGCAAUGGCAUAAGCCAGCUUGACUGCGAGCGUGACGGCGCGAGCAGGUGCGAAAGCAGGUCAUAGUGAUCCGGUGGUUCUGAAUGGAAGGGCCAUCGCUCAACGGAUAAAAGGUACUCCGGGGAUAACAGGCUGAUACCGCCCAAGAGUUCAUAUCGACGGCGGUGUUUGGCACCUCGAUGUCGGCUCAUCACAUCCUGGGGCUGAAGUAGGUCCCAAGGGUAUGGCUGUUCGCCAUUUAAAGUGGUACGCGAGCUGGGUUUAGAACGUCGUGAGACAGUUCGGUCCCUAUCUGCCGUGGGCGCUGGAGAACUGAGGGGGGCUGCUCCUAGUACGAGAGGACCGGAGUGGACGCAUCACUGGUGUUCGGGUUGUCAUGCCAAUGGCACUGCCCGGUAGCUAAAUGCGGAAGAGAUAAGUGCUGAAAGCAUCUAAGCACGAAACU
rnacentral:rRNA from 1 species